rnacentral:rRNA from 1 species
UUAAUUGAAGAGUUUGAUCAUGGCUCAGAUUGAACGCUGGCGGCAGGCCUAACACAUGCAAGUCGAGCGGCAGCACAGAGGAACUUGUUCCUUGGGUGGCGAGCGGCGGACGGGUGAGUAAUGCCUGGGAAAUUGCCCGGUAGAGGGGGAUAACCAUUGGAAACGAUGGCUAAUACCGCAUAACCUCGUAAGAGCAAAG